UGGUCUUGACAUCCACGGAAGUUUUCAGAGAUGAGAAUGUGCCUUCGGGAACCGUGAGACAGGUGCUGCAUGGCUGUCGUCAGCUCGUGUUGUGAAAUGUUCGGGUUAAGUCCCGCAACGAGCGCAACCCUUAUCCUUUGUUGCCAGCGGUCCGGCCGGGAACUCAAAGGAGACUGCCAGUGAUAAACUGGGGGAAGUGGGAUGACGUCAAGUCAUCAUGGCCCUUACGACCAGGGCUACACACGUGCUACAAUGGCGCAUACAAAGAGAAGCGACCUCGCGAGAGCAAGCGGACCUCAUAAAGUGCGUCGUAGUCCGGAUUGGAGUCUGCAACUCGACUCCAUGAAGUCGGAAUCGCUAGUAAUCGUGGAUCAGAAUGCCACGGUGAAUACGUUCCCGGGCCUU
rnacentral:rRNA from 1 species